rnacentral:rRNA from 1 species
AUUGAACGCUGGCGGCAUGCCUUACACAUGCAAGUCGAACGGCAGCACGGGAGCAAUCCUGGUGGCGAGUGGCGAACGGGUGAGUAAUAUAUCGGAACGUGCCCAGUCGUGGGGGAUAACGCAGCGAAAGCUGUGCUAAUACAGCAUACGAUCUCUGGAUGAAAGCGGGGGAUUCGCAAGGACCUCGCGCGAUUGGAGUGGCCGAUAUCAGAUUAGCUAGUUGGUGGGGUAAAAGCCUACCAAGGCGACGAUCUGUAGCUGGUCUGAGAGGACGACCAGCCACACUGGAACUGAGACACGGUCCAGACACCUACGGGUGGCAG